rnacentral:lncRNA from 1 species
ACUAAUAGAUAAAAUAAAAAUAUUAAUAGACUCGUACCUUGGAAGCUAAUUAUAGAUGAUUCAAGCCCUUAAGUCCUUCGCUUCUUUGAGAAGCAAUAACAUAUCCUCUUGCUCUAUGAAAAAAAAGAGAAGAUUAGAGGGUAUACAUGAAGCAAGGAAAAAAAGAUAUGAGAUAACAGUAAGAGAAAGAGAGAUAGAAAUAAAGAGGGAGAAACAUGGUACUGAGAAAGAUGAGGACCUAUUUGAGAGAGGAUGGGAGAGAGUCCAAGGAA